GAUGAACGCUGGCGGCGCGCUUAACACAUGCAAGUCGAACGGAAAGGCUCCUGCUUGCAGGGGUACUCGAGUGGCGAACGGGUGAGUAACACGUGGGUGAUCUGCCCUGCACUUCGGGAUAAGCCUGGGAAACUGGGUCUAAUACCGGAUAGGACGAUGGUUUGGAUGCCAUUGUGGAAAGUUUUUUCGGUGUGGGAUGAGCUCGCGGCCUAUCAGCUUGUUGGUGGGGUAAUGGCCUACCAAGGCGUCGACGGGUAGCCGGCCUGAGAGGGUGUACGGCCACAUUGGGACUGAGAUACGGCCCAGACUCCUACGGGAGGCAGCAGUGGGGAAUAUUGCACAAUGGGCGCAAGCCUGAUGCAGCGACGCCGCGUGGGGGAUGACGGCCUUCGGGUUGUAAACUCCUUUCGCUAGGGACGAAGCGCAAGUGACGGUACCUGGAGAAGAAGCACCGGCUAACUACGUG
rnacentral:rRNA from 1 species